CGGUUAUUGUCCAAGGAGAGAAGUGGAGGUUCUGCCCUAGUUCCGGUUAUUGUUUAAGGAGAGAAGUGGAGGUUCUGCCCUAGUUCCAGUUACUGUUUAAGGAAAGAGAGGAGGAAGUUCUACCCAAGUUCCUAUCUAUUCAGGUGGAGAGGAUCCGGCUGCAAGUGGCAUAUAGGAUGCCAACAGUUUUAUUUUGGGAAAUGCUCUGAUAUUGUGACAUCGGGGCAAAGGAUUUUUAGGAGCGAAAUAUUCGUGUGAAUUUGGUACUGUAAUAUUAUUUUGAAAACAAUUUGUAAAAACUCUUGUGUGUUAUGUGUUAUAUUUUUGCUAAUGUGGUUGUUCGAAGUUUCUCAUGUGAACCCUUUUACUGUAAUUGAAAGAUUUAUUACAA